CAGUCGCCGCGGUAAUACGUAGGUGGCAAGCGUUGUCCGGAAUUAUUGGGCGUAAAGGGCUCGCAGGCGGUUUCUUAAGUCUGAUGUGAAAGCCCCCGGCUCAACCGGGGAGGGUCAUUGGAAACUGGGAAACUUGAGUGCAGAAGAGGAGAGUGGAAUUCCACGUGUAGCGGUGAAAUGCGUAGAGAUGUGGAGGAACACCAGUGGCGAAGGCGACUCUCUGGUCUGUAACUGACGCUGAGGAGCGAAAGCGUGGGGAGCGAGCAGGAUUAGAGACCCCUGUAGUCCCUGUCUCUUAUAC
rnacentral:rRNA from 1 species